rnacentral:rRNA from 1 species
CCAAAAACAUCUCUCUUUGUAUAAUAUAAAUAAAGAGUUGGGCCUGCUCGGUGAAACGUUUUAACAGCUGCGGUAUUUUAACUGUACUAAGGUAGCAUAAUAAUUUGCCUUAUAAUUUGAGGCUAGAAUGAAUGGUUUGACGAAGGUUAAUCUGUCUCUGCUUUAUUUUUUAGAAAUUAAUUUUCAUAGUGAAAAAGCUUGAAUUUCUUAAGGGGACGAGAAGACCCUACUGAGCUUAUAAUUUUAUUAUCACAUAUAUUUAUGUAUAAUGUGCUAUAUAAAUUUUAAUUGGGGUGAUUAAGGAAUAAUAUAGCUAUUUUAUAACUUCCUUAGAUAUUAUAUUGUUGAAUUAAGUAACCGAUUAAUUAAUAGAAUUGUAUUAUGUAUUGCUUAUAAUAUAGUUACCAUAGGGAUAACAGCGUAAUUUACUUAGAGAGUUCUUAUUGAAAAGUAAGAUUGCGACCUCGAUGUUGGAUUAAAGUGACCUUAAGGUGCAGAAGC